CCUACGGGGGGCAGCAGUGAGGAAUAUUGGUCAAUGGUCGGGAGACUGAACCAGCCAAGCCGCGUGAGGGAGGAAGGUACAGAGUAUCGUAAACCUCUUUUGUCAGGGAACAAAGGCGGGGACGUGUCCCCGGAUGAGUGUACCUGAAGAAAAAGCAUCGGCUAACUCCGUGCCAGCAGCCGCGGUAAUACGGAGGUGGCAAGCGUUAUCCGGAUUUAUUGGGUGUAAAGGGCGUGUAGGCGGGAAAGCAAGUCAGAUGUGAAAACUCAGGGCUCAACCCUGAGCCUGCAUUUGAAAUUGUUUGUCUUGAGUGCGGGGGAGGCAAUCGGAAUUCGGGGUGUAGCGGUGAAAUGCGUAGAUAUACGGAGGAACACCAGUGGCGAAGGCAGAUUGCUGGAGAGGAACUGACGCUGAGGCGCGAAAGCGUGGGGAGCGAACAGGAUUAGAUACCCGAGUAGUC
rnacentral:rRNA from 1 species